rnacentral:misc_RNA from 1 species
UGUGGGAGCGGGCUUGCUCGCGAAUGCGAUGGAUCAGUCAGCACAUGUAUUGGCUGACACACCGCUUUCGCGAGCAAGCCCGCUCCCACA